AAUGUAGUCUGUGAGCUUACUCUAAUUUUGUCAACAAAUUUGCUACAGGUAAACAACAAUGGAUUAAAGCACAUGUCGAGAAUGCUAAAUAACAGGCCAUACUCCAAAUUUUAAAAUCACAAUUAUCCUCCGAUGAGGCUCACAUGCAUAGGGAUAUCCACUCUCUUAGGGGAAAGAGUUCCGAGCUUGCUGUAGAACUCUCGACACAUUUUCAAAAGGUGCAGCCUUUCAUAUGUGAGGGCUUCGGGGCAGACAAACCAAGGGUUGAUAACUUUAGAAGAAGUUAAGCAGCAUAAAACUGAAAUUGUAUUUGAACGCAGUUUUAAAAGCUUAUGCGUACAAUGCUGGAGGUAACUUAUAAACUUCAGUGUUUUGCAUUUUUUGGGUUUAUUUGAGUUUUAAAUGAACUCCGUUUGCUGCUGAUGAUCAAGGCGUCUAGUUAUUCCAUUGGAGAACAACUGAUUGACUUGGUGGGAGCAAAUUGAUAAUUGGCCGAAGUUUACUCUUAAUAUGAGUUCUUAACUUGUGGUUCAUCCAAAUAAGAAGUUUGAACCAAUAGACAAUGGGCAGCGCUUACUACCCAGCAGGGAAUCAGUCUCCAGUAAGAUACGAUGAUACUCCUGGGCUCAACAAUUUGUUCCCAAAUGAACAAUAAUUUGUUCUUUUUAUUUAAAAAUUA